CCUUUCUUUCUCUCUCUAACUUCUCUCUAGCCUCCCUAAACCCCUCCCAAGUCUACGGAACCUCCCUAGCACGAGAAGAGAGCCCCGGAGCGCCCGACGGCUCCGAGAAGAAAAGCUUUCGGCUCGGAAACGCUGCUCCAGCGAAGCCCGGUUUUUAAUAAAAACCCGCUGUAAGUGAGCUACGCCUAUAGUAUAUUUAAUAUAGAUUUUAUUUAAUUAUAGUAACAUUGUUAGGACCUUAAAAUAAUUAUUUAGGCUAUUAUUAUGAGUUAUAUUGAGUGUUAUUUAACGCUUAUAUAAUAGUAAUAAUAGCUAGACUAUUAAAUUAGUCUCGUCAAGCGUUAGACUAAACUCUAGUGGUAAUGAUACUAGGUUUCGUCAAGGGAUAAUUGUUUUAAGAGUAACGAAGUGCUGUCCGAGUGCCGACUCACCACCUUUCAAGUGAGUGCAUAGUCCCUUUCAUCUUACACAUAGAUAUGAAGUAUUUUAUAUAAACUACGUGCUAUGUGUGCACAUUAUCUGAAUACUUGCUGUCUAUGCUGGUUGAACGUUUUAUACAUGUUUUAAAGGACUUAAACUGUAUACGUAUUUUAUAUAUACGAAAAUGUUGGGUAUGAGAUGGGUAGAUGAAUGAUGAGAGAUAGAAGAUGACGUGAGUAUACAUUGGCAGCUAUAGACUUAGUGCCUAUGGGACAAACACCGGUAGCUAUGGACUUAGUACCUUUUAGACGUUGGUAGCUAUGGAUUUAGUACCUGUUGGGAAUUGGUAGCUAUGGACUUAGUACCUAUUAGUUAGACGCUGGUAGCUAAGGAUUUAGUACCUGUAGGAAUUGGUAGCUAUGGACUUAGUACCUGUUGAACAUUGGUAGCUAUGGACUUAGUACCUAUUAGAUAAAGACUGGUAGCUAUGGAUUUAGUACCCGAUGAAUAGACUAUAGCAGCUAUGGAAUUAGUGCUUUAUGAACGAACAUUGGCAGCUAUGGAUUUAGUGCCAGUCCCAUAACCCUGGAAGUAAGGGACUUCGGAAUAAACGAAUGCAGGAUAGAUGACUCUUAGGUUAAAUCCUUAAAGAGUAAAGAAGAUAAUGGGGAUGGGUAAUUGGGUUGAUUGUUUGAUUGAACAUAAUAAUUAUAUUAUUGUGGGUUGAAAACCCUAUGUACUCACCAGGUUUCCCAACCUGACCCACUCAGUUUAUGUAUAUCACAGGUGACGAAGUGAAGUGACAUUACACUGAGAGAUUUAAAAGAGAUGUAGAUCACUAGUGUAAAUCAUUGUAAGUUCUGUUUAUGCUUAUGUUUCGGUAUUAACGAUGACAUCCCAAACAUUUUAAAAUGAAAUAAAUACGUUUCUUCAAAAAUGUUUUAAUAACGUAUUUACCAUGUUUUUCUGGGAACAAAUUCCGCAACCUUUUUAUAAAAUGAAGUACUCUGAUUUUUAUAAAGCAUAAACAAAAUCGGUCU
rnacentral:lncRNA from 1 species